rnacentral:rRNA from 1 species
GCCUACGGGGGGCAGCAGUGGGGGAUAUUGGACAAUGGGGGGAACCCUGAUCCAGCGACGCCGCGUGAGUGAAGAAGUAUUUCGGUAUGUAAAGCUCUGUCAGCAGGGAAGAAAGAAAUGACGGUACCUGACCAAGAAGCCCCGGCUAACUACGUGCCAGCAGCCGCGGUAAUACGUAGGGGGCAAGCGUUAUCCGGAAUUACUGGGUGUAAAGGGAGCGUAGACUGUUAAGUAAGUCUGGAGUGAAAGGCCGGGGCCCAACCCCGGGACUGCUCUGGAAACUAUUUAACUUGAGUGCAGGAGAG